rnacentral:rRNA from 1 species
AUGGUGGAUCACGUCGUCGGCGCCACCAACACCUUCGCCCUUUGGCACAAGAUCAAGGAUUUCUUCCUCGCCAACCGUGCUGCCCGGUUCAUGGUCCUCAACCGGCAGUAUCGCAACCUCAAGCAGAGUGAUCUUUCCGUGGCCGAUUACGCGCGGCGCAUGAAACUCCUCACCGACGGCCUCGCCGACAUCGAGCACGCCGUCACCGAGGUGGAUCUUCGCACUCAGUUCCUUCACGGCCUCGACAAGCGCCUCGACACCAUCAGGGUCGUUCUCGGCGACCAGGAGCUGCCCUUCGACACCGUCCUCUCUCGGGUCAUCCUGGCCGAGGAAUCCCAGGCGCAGCACGCCGCUGAGGAGAGCGCCUCGACGUUUGCGCUCCCCGGCGGUGACCGCGGCCAGAGCAGUGGCUCUGGUGGUUGUGCUCGUGGCUCCGGCGAUGACUGCGCCAACGACUGCCAGGGCCAUCUUCCCCAA